ensembl:snRNA U6 U6 spliceosomal RNA
GGGCUCGCUUCGGCAGCACAGGUACUAAAGUUGGAAGGAUACAGAGAAGGUUCGCGUGGCCCCUGUGCAAGGAUGGCACGCAAAUUCACAAAGUGUUUCAUAUUUUU